CCUACGGGAGGCAGCAGUAGGGAAUAUUGCUCAAUGGGGGAAACCCUGAAGCAGCAACGCCGAGUGGAGGAUGAAGGUUUUCGGAUUGUAAACUCCUUUUGUUAGAGAAGAUAAUGACGGUAUCUAACGAAUAAGCACCGGCUAACUCCGUUCCAGCAGCCGCGGUAAUACGGAGGGUGCAAGCGUUACUCGGAAUCACUGGGCGUAAAGAGCGCGUAGGUGGGAUAAUAAGUCAGAUGUGAAAUCCUAUGGCUUAACCAUAGAACUGCAUUUGAAACUGUUAUUCUAGAGUAUGGGAGAGGUAGGUGGAAUGCGUGGUGUAGGGGUAAAAUGCGUAGAGAUCAAGAGGAAUACUGAUUGCGAAGGCGACCUGCUAGAACAUAACUGACGCUGAUGCGCGAAAGCGUGGGGAGCAAACAGGAUUAGAUACCCCAGUAGUC
rnacentral:rRNA from 1 species